rfam:Clostridiaceae bacterium BRH_c20a BRHa_1002414, whole genome shotgun sequence.
AGGAUAGUAUCCAGAUGGAGCUAAACCUUUAUAAGAUUAUCCAACAAUUUAAUAUGUUAUUUCGCUCUGAGCCAAUAGGACCGAGACGAAAGG